GAGUUUGAUCCUGGCUCAGAACGAACGCUAGCGGCGUGCUUAACACAUGCAAGUCGUACGAGAAAUCCCGGGCAACUGGGAGAGUAAAGUGGCGCACGGGUGAGUAACACGUGGGUAAUCUACCUUGGAGUUUGGAAUAACACCUCGAAAGGGGUGCUAAUACCGAAUAUGGUCCCUGGAGUUUCGGCCCUAGGGAUGAAAGAUGGCUGAGGCUUGCAAGCUAUUGCUCCAAGAUGAGCCCGCGUACCAUUAGCUAGCUGGUGGGGUAAUGGCCCACCAAGGCUAUGAUGGUUAGCUGGUCUGAGAGGAUGGCCAGCCACACUGGAACUGAGAUACGGUCCAGACUCCUACGGGAGGCAGCAGUGAGGAAUCUUGCGCAAUGGGGGCAACCCUGACGCAGCAACGCCGCGUGAGUGAUGAAGGCCUUCGGGUCGUAAAGCUCUGUCAGGCGGGAAGAAAGUUUUCAGGGUGAACAAUCCUGGAGAUUGACGGUACCGUCAAAGGAAGCACCGGCUAACUCCGUGCCAGCAGCCGCGGUAAUACGGAGGGUGCGAGCGUUGUUCGGAAUUAUUGGGCGUAAAGAGCGUGUAGGCGGCCUCGUAAGUCAGAUGUGAAAGCCCUUGGCUUAACCAAGGAAGGGCAUUUGAAACUGCUUGGCUUGAGUACGGGAGGGGGAAGCGGAAUU
rnacentral:rRNA from 1 species